rnacentral:rRNA from 1 species
UGCAUCGAUGAAGAACGCAGCGAAAUGCGAUAAGUAAUGCGAAUUGCAGAAUUCAGUGAAUCAUCGAAUCUUUGAACGCACAUUGCGCCCGCCAGUAUUCUGGCGGGCAUGCCUGUCUGAGCGUCGUUUCGACCCUCGCGCCCGGCUUCUGUCGGGGGCGGUGUUGGGGAUCGGCCACACCCACUCCGGUGGGAGGCCGGCCCCUAAAUCCAGUGGCGACCACGCUGUAGCCUCCCCUGCGUAGUACUAAAACCACCUCGCAGGCGGAGAGCGGUGCGGCCCGCCGUAAAACCCCCCAACUUUUACAAGGUCGACCUCAGAUCAGGUAGGAAUACCCGCUGAACUUAAGCAUAUCAAUAAGCGGAGGA